GANUAGAAUGCCAGUUUUGGGUGUUGGUGGCGAAGUUGAGUGCUUUCUUUCUGA
rnacentral:tRNA from 1 species